AGACAAUGGGAGAAAAAUCACACAGUCAUCCUUUUCUGUCUUCUCUUUUUCUCUAACAGUAUAAAUGUCGGAAAAAGAAAAAAAAAGAACCCAAACUUUUACAAGGAAGAAUUCACAAUUCUCAGGCAAACAUCUCCAGUAAGACAGACACUCUGUCUCAUUGUAAGCAAGAGUGGCACCCUUAGGAGAUAAGAAUUGGAUAGGAUUAUGCAGAAGAUGGAAGGCCAGGAGAGGAGCAUUUAAACAUAUUAGGGAAGGAUGUCGAGAGAAUUAAUGACCUAUAUUUUGGAGUCUCUCAGAGCUGUGUAAACAAAAAGAAGUGGCAAUAAUUGAAGAGGGCAGAAGGAAAUGGAUUCUGGUACAGAAAUCAACGAACCAAAGACUUCAGCUGGAGCCCAAAUCCACACACACGCUCCCUUUCCGAGGGAUCACCUGCUUGUGAGCCACUGACUCCUGGGCCACACUGCUUGAGAUGCCUGUGCGCCACGCUCUCAUGGGUAUACAGUAUACACUGCCCAUUGCUACGGACCCCAUUCUUUGACCCCUACUAGAGAAGACACAGAGGCCUUGUGUGCUGAGCUGCAACUAGUUUGCCGAGUCUGCACUGACAUGGUAAGUCAACAACUGGUCUGGACUUUGCUGUCUUCAUAUUGAAUCUCUCAGCUAUUUAUUCUCAGCUUGGUACCCAGGUUUUGUUAUUGGCUGUCACUUGUUUGGCAUCGUUGGUGAAAUUCUUUAGCUUUAAACUUAAAAGCAACAUAAAAACCCAAUGAUAACAAACAUUUUGAGUAAUAAAAUCUAUGAGACUUGGACA
rnacentral:lncRNA from 12 species